AACCAUCUGUAAUGAGACCUUUGUGC
rnacentral:piRNA from 1 species